AACGAACGCUGGCGGCAGGCUUAACACAUGCAAGUCGAACGCCCCGCAAGGGGAGUGGCAGACGGGUGAGUAACGCGUGGGAAUCUACCUAGUUCUACGGAACAACUGAGGGAAACUUCAGCUAAUACCGUAUACGCCCUACGGGGGAAAGAUUUAUCGGAAUUAGAUGAGCCCGCGUUGGAUUAGCUAGUUGGUGAGGUAAUGGCUCACCAAGGCGACGAUCCAUAGCUGGUCUGAGAGGAUGAUCAGCCACACUGGGACUGAGACACGGCCCAGACUCCUACGGGAGGCAGCAGUGGGGAAUAUUGGACAAUGGGCGCAAGCCUGAUCCAGCCAUGCCGCGUGAGUGAUGAAGGCCUUAGGGUUGUAAAGCUCUUUCAGUAGGGAAGAUAAUGACGGUACCUACAGAAGAAGCCCCGGCUAACUUCGUGCCAGCCGCCGCAGUAACAC
rnacentral:rRNA from 1 species